AUGGUGAUACCAGUCUGGGUUUCAUCUAAAAAUGAUCCAACGACUGAGAAACUUGUCUAUGCACUACUCGACACUCAAAGCGACACUACGUUUAUUGACCAAGAAGUGAGUGAUGGUCUUAAUGCUGACAAGUAUCCAGUGAAAUUGAAGUUGACGACUAUGAGUGGUAAAGAUACAGUGCUCACAAGCGAAGGUGUUUCUGGACUUCAUGUUAGAGGAUAUAGUUCCGCAGUUCAAGUUGAUCUUCCGGUCGCCUAUACAAAGGACUGCAUACCUGUUAACCGCUCUCACAUUCCCACUUGUGAGACGGCUAAACAAUGGAGUCAUCUUGCAGAAAUAGUGGAUGAAAUCCAACCACUGAAGGACUGUGUAGUAGGUCUUUUGAUCGGCUACAACUGCUCAAGAGCUAUGGCACCAAGGCAAGUCCUUUUAGGAGAAGACAAGGAACCCUACGCUGUAAGGACGGAUUUAGGAUGGAGUAUUGUAGGGCGCUCACUACAAACCCAUGAUGUGUUGAGCACAUAUCAUUUGUGUCACAGAAUAACAGUUAAGGAGCUACCUCCGAUAACUCCUACCGACGUCUUUCGCAUUUUAGAGUCUGACUUCAAAGAUGGCAGUGAUGACAGCAAAAUUGUGUCACAAGACGACAUCACAUUCCUCAACAUACUGGAUGAGGGAAUAAGGAAAAACAUACAUGGCCAUUUUGAGAUGCCUCUGCCAUUCAAAACCAGACCCAGCUUGCCUGACAACAAGGGCUCAGCUAUGACACGCCUCCUUCACCUUAAAAGGAAAUUGCAACGGGAUGAAAGGUUUAGGAAGCUUUAUGUUGAGUUCAUGGAGGAAGUCAUUGGAAACGGAGAUGCUGAGCAGGUCAGGGACGGUGGGAGUGAAGGAGAGAGAUGGUACAUUCCCCAUCAUGGUGUGCAUCAUGCGAAGAAGCCAGAUAAACUUCGUGUAGUGUUCGAUUGCUCAGCCAGAUACAAAGGAACAAGCUUGAAUGAUCACCUCCUCUCUGGGCCUGACAUGUUGAACAACUUAAGUGGAGUUCUCAUCCGUUUCCGACAGCACCCCAUUGCAUUGAUGUGCGACAUUCAGAAAAUGUUCCAUCAGUUUCAUGUGGUCGAAGCUGAUCGCAACUUCCUGCGCUUUCUUUGGUGGAAGCAAGGAGAUUUGAACUCACAGCCCAGCGAGUUUCGCAUGAAAGUGCAUCUGUUCGGUGCAGCUUCCUCUCCGGGGUGUGCAAACUAUGGGAUGAAACAUCUAGCUAAGGAGAAUCGCGACAUCUACACUCAAGGCUCGAGAUUUGUUAUGAGGGACUUUUAUGUAGAUGAUGGGCUCGCAAGUGUUGAAAACACUGAAGAUGCUAUUCAGCUUGCCAGGGAAGCUCGUGAACUCUGUGCCAUGGGUGGUCUCCGACUACAUAAGUUUGUGUCUAAUGACAGAAAGGUAUUAGAGAGUAUACCACCCUCUGAACGAGCAACCAACGUGAAGGAUAUGGAUCUCGCAUUUGAUGAUUUGCCACUUGAGAGGGCUCUCGGGAUUCAAUGGGAUGUGGAGUGUGUCCGCUUCAGGCUUAACGUCAGCCUCAAGGAACAGCCAGCGACACGACGUGGCAUUUUAUCUACAGUGGCUUCUCUGUACGAUCCUCUUGGGUUUGUGGCGCCAGUCGUCCUCAAAGCGAAGAUCAUUCUCCAGGAGAUGUGCAGACGGGGCACUGGCUGGGACGAUCCUCUCACUGACGAGCUUUGCCCAAAAUGGGAACAAUGGAGAAGUGAUCUAGCCCACUUAGAUAAUCUCACCAUAUCCCGUACCUACUCACCUGCUGGAUUUGGAAGGGUCUCAAAGACAGAGCUGCAUCAUUUCUCUGAUGCCAGUAUGAAGGGUUACGGCCAGUGUUCAUACCUGCGACUCCAAAACGAAGAGGGUGAUAUUCAUUGA
ensembl:lncRNA